AUUGAACGCUGGCGGCAGGCUUAACACAUGCAAGUCGAACGAUGAAGAUAUAGCUUGCUAUAUCGGAUUAGUGGCGGACGGGUGAGUAACACUUAGGAAUCUACCUUUUAGCGGGGGAUAGCUCGGGGAAACUCGAAUUAAUACCGCAUAAUUUCUACGGAAUAAAGAGGGCUUUUAGCUCUCACUAGAAGAUGAGCCUAAGUAAGAUUAGCUAGUUGGUGGGGUAAAAGCCUACCAAGGCGACGAUCUUUAGCUGGUCUGAGAGGAUGAUCAGCCACACUGGGACUGAGACACGGCCCAGACUCCUACGGGAGGCAGCAGUGGGGAAUAUUGGACAAUGGGGGCAACCCUGAUCCAGCCAUGCCGCGUGUGUGAAGAAGGCCUUUUGGUUGUAAAGCACUUUAAGCAGUGAAGAAGACCUAUUGGUUAACACCCAAUAGCGAUGACACUAACUGCGGAAUAAGCACCGGCUAACUCUGUGCCAGCAGCCGCGGUAAUACAGAGGGUGCAAGCGUUAAUCGGAAUUACUGGGCGUAAAGCGAGCGUAGGUGGUUAAAUAAGUCAGAUGUGAAAGCCCUGGGCUCAACCUAGGAACGGCACCUGAAACUAUUUAACUAGAGUAGGUGAGAGGGAAGUAGAAUUUCAGGUGUAGCGGUGAAAUGCGUAGAGAUCUGAAGGAAUACCGAUGGCGAAGGCAGCUUCCUGGCAUCAUACUGACACUGAGGCUCGAAAGCGUGGGUAGCAAACAGG
rnacentral:rRNA from 1 species